rnacentral:rRNA from 1 species
CAGCACCUCAAGUGGUCAGGAUGAUUAUUGGGCCUAAAGCAUCCGUAGCCUGCUUUGUCAGUUUUCGGUUAAAUCUGUACGCUCAACGUACAGGCUGCCGGGAAUACUGCAGCGCUAGGGAGUGGGAGAGGUAGACGGUACUCGGUAGGAAGGGGUAAAAUCCUUUGAUCUAUUGAUGACCACCUGUGGCGAAGGCGGUCUACCAGAACACGUCCGACGGUGAGGGAUGAAAGCUGGGGGAGCAAACCGGAUUAGAUACCCGAGUAGUCC